GAAAAUGUUAAAGUUCUUAUUUCAUGGUAUAACUUUGGUAUGCUUGGACCUAGAGUCUUCAAACUUGACAUGAAGGUUGGCCAGGAUUAACAGAUGACCACUGGUCAUUUCAAGGUCAUUCAUUUGAAGGUCAAGGUCACUGUGACCUUCAAUAUAAAAAUGUUAAAGUUGUUAUAACUUUGGUAUGCUUGGACCUAGAGUCUUGAAACUUGACAUGAAGGUUGGCCAUAACUAGUAAGUAACCACUGGACAUUUCAAGGUCAUUCAUUUGAAGGUCAAGGUCACUGUGACCUUGAAUGUAAAAAUGUUAAAGUUCUUAUUUCAUGUUAUAACUUUGGUAUGCUUGUACCUAGAGUCUUCAAACUUGAAAUAAAGAUUGGCCAGUACUAGAAGAUGACCACUGGUCAUUUCAAUGUCAUUCAUUUGAAGGUCAAGGUCACUGUGACCUUAAAUGUUAAAAUGUUAAAAUUGUUAUAACUUUGGUAUGCUUGGACAUAGAGUCUUCAAACUUGACAUGAAGGUUUGCAAGCACACUUAGAUGACCACUGGUUAUUGUUGUUCAUGUAUAUGCAUGCAUUCAAAACAUAACACAAGGUUUGCUCAUGCCUUGAAAAGUACUUACAUUUCAUUUUGACCUUUGAACAAUAUUUCAGUAAUUUAAGUA